rnacentral:rRNA from 1 species
GACGAACGCUGGCGGCGUGCCUGACACAUGCAAGUCGGACGGUUCUUGUAUCUUCAAGCUUGCUUGCAGGUGCAAGGAUAGUGGCGGACGGGUGAGUAACGCGUGAACAUCUACCCAUUGGAGGGGGACAACCCGUCGAAAGGCGGGCUAAUACCGCGUAAGCCGCGAGGUGAGAGGCUGCCUAUUGGUGGCCGCCGAUGGAUGGGUUCGCGUCCUAUCAGCUGGUUGGUGGGGUAACGGCCUACCAAGGCGAAGACGGGUAGCCGGUCUGAGAGGAUGGCCGGCCACACUGGAACUGAGACACGGUCCAGACUCCUACGGGAGGCAGCAGUGGGGAAUAUUGGGCAAUGGGGGAGACCCUGACCCAGCGACGCCGCGUGAGGGAUGAAGGUUUUCGGAUCGUAAACCUCUGUUGUACGGGAAGAAGGAUGUGACGGUACCGUACGAGAAAGCCCCGGCAAACUACGUG